rnacentral:SRP_RNA from 1 species
GCAGGGCAACGUGGUGCACCCCUGUAGUCCCAGCUACUCAGGAGCCUGAGGCAGGAGGAUUGCUCGAGCCCAGGAGUUCUGGACUGUAGCACAGUAUGGCUCAGGUGUCCUCAUUAAGUUUGGCAUAAUAUGGUGACCUCUGAGGAGCAGGGACUACAAGGUUGCCUAAGGAGGGAUGAACUGGCCCAGGGAGAAAACGAGGUGGGUCAAAACUCCCAUGCUGAUCAGUAGUGGGAUCGCCCCUGUGAAUAGCCACAGCACUCCAGCCUGGGCAACAUAGCAAGACCCUGUCUCU